rnacentral:rRNA from 2 species
AACGCGAAGAACCUUACCUACUCUUGACAUCCAGAGAACUUAGCAGAGAUGCUUUGGUGCCUUCGGGAACUCUGAGACAGGUGCUGCAUGGCUGUCGUCAGCUCGUGUUGUGAAAUGUUGGGUUAAGUCCCGCAACGAGCGCAACCCUUAUCCUUUGUUGCCAGCGGUUAGGCCGGGAACUCAAAGGAGACUGCCAGUGAUAAACUGGAGGAAGGUGGGGAUGACGUCAAGUCAUCAUGGCCCUUACGAGUAGGGCUACACACGUGCUACAAUGGCGCAUACAAAGAGAAGCGACCUCGCGAGAGCAAGCGGACCUCAUAAAGUGCGUCGUAGUCCGGAUUGGAGUCUGCAACUCGACUCCAUGAAGUCGGAAUCGCUAGUAAUCGUAGAUCAGAAUGCUACGGUGAAUACGUUCCCGGGUCUUGUACACACCG